AUGUGGUUGAUGAUGUUCCAGCAAGAACUGCACUUGAAUUCAAAACUGCUUAUUUUGUGGAGGAACAUAUAAAAGCUCAUUGUUACAAAUUUGAGAGGAGAGGAAAUUCUUUUUUUCCCCAAUUUUUGGUACAUGGAAACAUUGGAAGAAAACAAAGCUUUAUGAUGUGUUUGACUUGGGACAUGUUAUUAAGACCCUCUCUUUGUAUCAGAAUUUA